rnacentral:lncRNA from 1 species
UUCUGUGUUAUAUAUAUAAUUUUCACAAUCUAUAUAAUUAAGUAUAAAAUCCCAGAAAAUAGUUUAAGAUUUGGAUUUCAUUUUAAAAAUAUUUGAUUUCUUUGAUCAUUAUAUUAAAUGAAAACUUUAUUUAAUCAUAUGUUUGAUACGAAGUAUCUAUUUUAUUGAAUAUUUGGUAGAUUUUAACAAAACUAAAUAACCACAUCCAAUUUAAUUGUUUUGUCUAUUUAUAUUCAUAUCUACACUAUUAUGAAUAGGCCUUUGCCUAUCAAGUUAUUUCUCUCAUAUAAUCCAGUCAAGUACAUCGUGUCUCCGCAGCUACUAUUCCAUUGGAUCUCGACCGUAUGUUCGAUCCACGCCUUCGAUCAUCGUCGUAUUGACCCCUUCUCCUAAUCUGCUUAAUUGACAACAUUGAUUAAGAAUGAAGCUAAAUCUCAAUUUCAGGAGUCUAUCUCUGUCAUGCUUUGCUUCAGAUAUCUGUGAUUGAAAUCGCAUAUUUGAUACACCCUCGCUUGUUAGGUAUACUUGUUUCACUUGUCUGAUCCAAUAUACUCGGUAUUAUUGGUGCUUUCUUAAAUCUUGAACUCUUACUUUCAGAUGGAAAAUUAAGCAAGCCAUCCAGACUUCAUCAGAUUGUAGAACCGACAGAUGAAUCAAAUCAAAGAUGUGGAUGAGUUAAGGACUUAUGUGAACAAUAAUUUUAUGGAGAUUAGCAAACAGAUGUCUGAGUUAUGUGCAAAAAUCGAUGGGAUCCCUGUUAAACCACCAAAUCCCAAAGAUCAAGGUAAUCCAGUAAACCAUAUUAUCAGUCUGUGGUUAAUUUUGGCAAAAACCUGCUUGCUAUGCUAUUAGUGCAUUGGAGGACCCUAAUUAUACUCCUUCCAAGCAUAUAAAGGUUAAUAUACCAUAGUUUGAUGGAAAUGAAGUUGAACACUGUUGUAUUCUAUGAGAAGGUAUUUUAUUUGAAGAUUAGAAGUUAUUGAUUGUCUCUUUCCAUGUUGAUGGUAUAGCAAGAAAGUGGUUUGCUCGACUGGAGGCAAGAAACAUAUUAUCCACUUUGGAAAAAAUAGUAGAUGUUGUGGUGAGAAAAUUUACAACACUUCACUAUCAAUUACCAGGUGGGAAUUUAAGUAAAUUGGUUCAGACUGGAAUAGUUGCUUAGUACUAAUCACUAUUUGAAGAAUUAUAUAAAAGGGUACUAGGGCUACCUGAAUAUUUUAUACUAGAAAUAUAUAUAUCAGGGUUGAAAGAAGAGAUUCAGGUUGAUGUGGUGUUGGCAAAACCUAUUGACAUUCAUGAAACAUUCGAGAUGUCAUUAAUGAUUGAAAUAAGGAAAGGAGCAAGUAAAGGUUUAACUUAUAAACCUUAUUCUUACAAGCAAGCUAAAAUAAUAAUCAUCCCUUAGAACAACCUUGAGGUUGUGAAUGAAACAGUGAAUCCCACAUCAACUGAGACGGUACCUACCACUAAGAUACUAUCCGCAAUAGAAAGAGCUGAAAGAAGAAGCAAGGGCCUCUUCUUCAAUUGUGAUGAAAAUUCUCUGCAAACCAUAACAAUGUGUGUCUAGGCAGGAAGGGUAAAUUAUUUAGAUUGUCUGUUGAUGAGGCUAAGCUGGUAGAAAUAGAGGAGCAGUAAGACCUAAAAGAUUGUGAACAAAAAAUAAUUAUGGAAGACGUUGAUCAUUCACAGAGGUAGAACUGAGAUCUUACUAAAAUCAUUUGAAGGAAAUAUAGAUUUCAACACUGUAAGGGUCACAUGUUUCAUGAAAUUCUAGGAAGUAAGUGUGCUAGUUGACUCAGGAUCUAGCCAUAAUUUUAUGCAAGUUCAUAUAGCCCAAUAGUUGAAGCUGACGAUACAAAUGAUCCAUCCAUUUCAUGUAUCAACAAGCAGUGGAAAGUUAGUCUGUAACAAAAUGUGAAAAGAUGUGGAAGUUAAGAUCCAGGAUGUUAGUACUGUAAUGGAUAUUUUUUUGAUCCAUAAAGGGGUCUAACAUAGUAAUUAGUGCUCAAUCUCUGAAUACUUUUGGACCAGACACAUUUUAUUUUGACGAGCCGAAUGUGUCUUUUAAUAGAGAAGGUCAGAAUUUUUACAAGAGGCUUAUAUCUGCUAUCUUGACAGAGCUGUCAACAAUGAAACCACAAUAGUUCUAGAUGACAAAAUUUCAGAAAUUACCGAAGUAAUUAAGGAAAAUAUAUACAGAUCUGUUUGAAGAUCCUCUCGCUGAAUUCCAACUCAGAGGGAAAGGGAUCAUGCUAUCCAUCUAGAGCCAAGAGCUAAACCUGUAAAUGUUAGGAGGCCUUAAAGAUAUAUCCACAAUUUCAGAAAUCUGAAAUUGAUCCCUUAAAUGUUGAAGCAAGGCAUCAUUAAACCUAGCUCAAACCCUUACUCAUCUCCAGUUCUUUUAGUCAAGAAGAAGAAUGGUAGUUAUAGAUUAUGUGUGGAUUAUAGAGAUUUAAAUUCUUUCACAAUCAAAGAUAAGUAUCAAAUUCCUACCGUUGAUGAAUUGUUAGGGGAAUUAAAGGGUUCAAAUAUUUAUUCUAAACUUGAUUUGAGAUAUGGUUUCCAUCAGAUUAGGAUUGAUCCCAUUCAUACUGAAAGGAAAUCCUUCAGAAUACAUCAAGGACACUUUGAGUUCCUUAUGAUGCCUUUUGGCUCACUAAUGCCCCAACCACCUUUUAGUCAGUAAUGAACUCAAUUUUUUGCAAAUAUUUGAGGAAGUUUGUAAUUAUUUUUUUUGAUAACAUCCUAGUGUACAAUGCCAAUGUAUAAGACCAUACUGAAUACUUAAGAUAUGUAUUUGAAUUAACACCUUGAGAGCACCUACAAAACUUGAUGAAGAGCAAAAGCUUGAGCAAGAGCAAGAGAAUGAGAACUAGAGCUUUGAACCAAAGAGAGAGUUUUAACAAAGAUGGUAAGUGAUAGUUUUGAGUGCUUGGUGUUCCCCUCCUUAUCUAGAAACGUUGGUGACAUAGGGAGAUAGAUUUCUUCAACUUCCACAAGCAUUGGAAGAAGAGAGUGGAACAACCUUGAAAUUAUCAACUGCCUACCAUCCGGAGACCGAUGGACAAAUUGAAGUAACCAAUAGAGGCAUUGAAAUGUUCUUAAGGUCAGUGGAUACCAUGGGCUGAGCUGUGGCAUAAUUCCACAUUCAACAUAUCUAUUGGUAUGACACCAUUUAUGGCAUUUAUAGUAGAGAAGCCAACACAUUCACUGAGCUUCCAAGAGAAGAAAUCUCAGAGAUAUAGGUAAAGGAAGAGUUGGACAGGAGGUCUGAAAUUAUGGAGUUGAUCAAGAUCAACUUAGAAAAGGCUAAAGAAGCAAUGAAAAGGCAAGCGGAUCAACAUAGAACUCACAUAGAAUUCCAGGAAGAAGAUUGGGUUUUUGUCAAGUUGAAACCCUAUCGGCUGUAGCAUACAGAUUUCACCACAAGCUAUCUCCCCGAUAUUUUGGGUCAUUUCAAAUCGAAAAGAAAAUCAGUACAGUUGCCUAUAAAAUUACAUUGCUUACUAACAGUGCUAUACACCCAAUUUUUCAUAUUUCAGUGCUCAAAUUAUACAAGGGUGAGCUUCCCCCAAAGAAAUUCAAUUGCUUACCAGAUUUAGCUGUGAAUAACGAGCCCGUUAUUUUUCCGGAGGAGGUGCUGGAGGACAGGACACUGCUGGUUGACGGGAAGCCUGUAGAAUAAAUACGAAUUAAAUGGCAUGGUCUGAAGGAGGAAAAGAGCUCAUGGGAAGACAAGGUAACCUUGUCAAGGUUAUUCCCAACCAUUAACCUUGAGGUCAAGGGUAAUCUUAUGGGAGAUGGAAAUGAUAGAGAGACUUACCAGAACGCGAUGCUAGAGGAAACACGACGGCUGAUCCAGAAUCUAGGAGACGGACCCGACGAGCUGGAGGACGACGUCGCCAAGUCGCCGGCAGAGGAAGGGAAUAACGAUCUUCCAACUAUCGCUUUGGGGAUUGCUAAUCGGAGUCGGAGGAUCCGGUACCCGAGUACCCGGUUGGCAGAUUAUGAAACCUAGUUGGAAGGGGCCGAUGGAGAAAUCAAAGGGAAUUAGAGAACUGUAAUUUCUUUUAAGUAGUAAGGGUAAUUUAGUCAAUAAAGUUGUAAUAGGUAAUAUAAAUACCUUGCUUCAAAACCUAUUAUUUUUAUCUAGGAAAUUUCCAAAUUAAAGGGUUUUAAUUAACCUCAAGUAACGGCUGAAGCAGCCCAAAUACUGUUUCAUUCCCUGCCUCCAUCGAUUCCCAUUCUUUCUCCUAUUAAGAGAGUUUCAACAAAGAUGGUAAGUGAUAUUUUUGAGUGCUUGGUGUUCCCCUCCUUAUCUAGAAAACGUUGAUGACA